rnacentral:tRNA from 1 species
GUCGGGAUGGCCCAGCCUGGUACGGCGUCGGACUGCUAAUCCGAUGAUCCCUUGGAUCACCCGGGUUCAAAUCCCGGUCCCGGCG